rnacentral:rRNA from 1 species
UACGGGGGGGGCAAGCGUUGUUCGGAAUUACUGGGCGUAAAGGGCUCGUAGGCGGCCAACUAAGUCAGACGUGAAGUCCCUCGGCUUAACCGGGGAACUGCGUCUGAUACUGGAUGGCUAGAGAUUGGGAGAGGGAUGCGGAAUUCCAGGUGUAGCGGUGAAAUGCGUAGAUAUCUGGAGGAACACCGGUGGCGAAGGCGGCAUCCUGGACCAACACUGACGCUGAGGAGCGAAAGCCAGGGGAGCAAACGGG